ensembl:lncRNA
GGGGGGGGGGGCUUCUUGCUGUUUUAUACCUUUCCUUUUUUUUCCCUUCUUCUUCCUCCCUUUUUUUCAGACGCAUUUUUUUUCUUUCUUUCCCUUCUUUCCCCCCCUCUCUUUCCCCCCUUUUUCCUUCCGGCUUCGGCAACCGGGAGCGGCGGGGUUCGUGCACGCGGUGCUGCGCUCGCACCCCGCGGCCGCACAGGGGCCGUACCCGGCUGAUCGCGGGGGGGGGGUCCGGCAUCCCUUCGCCCCCGCGCCCGCAGCGCCGUGUUCCUCGCGUGAGAGCCUGUGAUCAGCGCCGGCCUCUCUGGGAAGCAACACCAGUCUCGUUCCAGAAGAACAAAAUAACAGCGUGAGGCUGAAACCUGGCACGGACCGGGGGAACGCGGCCAUCUGCCCCGCACCGCACGGAGCCCCGCGGCCGCGGAGCGGGCGGAGGGCGCAGAGCUCCGGUGCUGCCCUCCUCCUCCUCCUCCUCCCCUCCCUUCCUCGCUCCUUUCCCCGCUCCAUCCCUUCUUAGGGAAAAGCGGUUGAAAGGAGAAAGGCAGAGAGCACGAAUGGGUGCCCUCCCCGCGCUGCGUUGCCGGGGGUGCUGUGUCUGUCACUCCUGUGCACCUGGCUGGGAUGGAUACCUUUCACGCUGCUUUGAAGGUGUCCGUAUUGGCACAUUUGGCUCUCCUCCAGCCCUUUCUCUAUUUCCUCCUGGGCCUCAUUCAUGCUCUCCUCCUUGAAGGACUGUUUGGGAUUUUAGAGUCUUAC